UACGUAGGGUGCGAGCGGUAAUCGGAAUUACUGGGCGUAAAGCGUGCGCAGGCGGUUCGUGAUGUCUGAUGUGAAAGCCCCGGGCUCAACCUGGGAAUUGCAUUGGAAACUAGCGGGCUGGAGUGUGGCAGAGGGGGGUGGAAUUCCACGUGUAGCAGUGAAAUGCGUAGAGAUGUGGAGGAACACCGAUGGCGAAGGCAGCCCCCUGGGCUAACACUGACGCUCAUGCACGAAAGCGUGGGGAGCAAACAGG
rnacentral:rRNA from 1 species